ACCAAUUCCGGACACAAUCUCAGCACUGUGGGAGACUGAGGCACCUGCCAAACCUGCACAGAUUCCUACAGCAGCCAGUUCGCUCUGUCUCGAGGCUUCAGAGGAACACGAACUUCUCUGAUGGAAGAGCCUUGUUCUAGAAGGGAGUGAAGCCUAGGUCUUUCCUGAGCACACAGAAGAUCAAGACCACACUCACUGACUUCUCAUAGUCAAGCAAUUUUGGCCAAUUAAAUGUCAGUUGGAAACUCCUGUGUCAGCUUCUCUGUGGCGGUGAGAAGUCCCUGUGUGACAUCCCAACUCUCCCCUCACCUGCGUUGGCAACCAAGAAAGCCUUGUGUUGGAGGUGGGGCCACAAGUUUAAAGCUAAGUUACCACCUCGAGGGCACAUUCCUGGAGAGCUUCCCAGGCCCACAGUGGCACGUGUAUGAGUGACAGAUCCACUUCUUUAUUACCUUUUUGAAGAACAGGAACCUUUGUCUGGAAAUUCCACAAGUAUGCCUUUUGCAAGAUUAAAAGUGCCACAAAGAACAAAAAUGAGCCCAGGACCAGAUGCAUGUUAAAAGCCAUCAGACACGUUAAGUUUCAUCUCCAUUGACCUGCAGAAGGAGUCUCUCACCACAGCCACCACAUCUAUGCAUGUGCUGAGUCACAUGUGAAGCCAGCACAUCUCAGAGUCUCACCGAAAGCUCAUGGUGAGACAAAGAGACUAGAAGGGGUAGAGUCAGCUAACUUCUCUCCUCCCACCACUGAUGAGGUUUUGGUGAAUUCUCUUCCCUUGCUCACUUGCAGAUUCAGCAGAGUUGUCUAUAGUGGCUUAAUUGGAAUUGCUGGACAAGAACAUUGAUUCUGCUUCACUCAGGUAAAGAUGAAAGUAACUGCAACAAUGGAUAUUGCAUUUGAAGGUCAUUGAGUUGUAGUCAGGCAAGGGGAGCAGAUAUUAAAACAUACACGCACAAAAUAAUGGGAUUUUUAUUUAGCAUCUCGCAAGUCUUGAGUAACAUAGUAUUAAUUGACCUUGAGAUUUCAUUCUUUUGUGACUCAUUGCAUUUGCUUUUGUGUUUCAGAUUAAUAUAGAAUAUUUUAAAGAAAGAGUAAUACAGCCAAUUUUAAUCUCUGGGAAGUUUAUGCAAGACAUAAUUUAUUUGUAAACUUUAUAAUAAUAUGUGAAUUAAAGACCCUUGUUAGUUUGGUAUGAAUCUGACAUAAGGGCUAAAAUCACUUUUUCAUUAGCCUUCUCCUGAUCUCAGGUUUACACCUAAGAGAUUCUUCACUCCAAAGUCUUCAUUUCCAAGCACAACCUGCUGGGUGCUGCGCUUUUCUGAGGUCUCCUCCCCAGCUCUGCAUCUAGCAGUGCUCAUGAUGCAAUGAUUUCCUGUCUGACUAUCCCAUUCCUAUCCUUUGCAAAGUUCACAUAGACCCAUUUGAGUACACUUUUAGUAGCAUACCAAGUUUAAGUGCCAAAGUUGUGUUUUAGUUCUUUCAUCCAGAAAGAAAACAUCAGCUGUUUCAAAUUUUAGAGUCCAGCUUGGGCAACAAGAGAAUUGUCAUGUCGUCGAUUGUGUAGUAAGACACAGUGAGUGUCCAGCAAUGUAAAAUCAGUCUAUAAAUGAGAAGAUUAAGACCAAAAGCAUCGGGUUACAAACAUCUCACUAAAGCCCAUUAGCAGGCAGAGAGCUCUCCGCGGAGCUAGAAAAUGAGACUUUUCCCUCCUUUCUGCCCCAUACAUUAGUGCUGAUCUCAGGAGCUCAUUUUUGCACCCUUUGUGGCAGACAACCAUAUAAUCAAAGGGUUCCCAUCACUAAAUCAUUUGAAAAGACAAGUAGAAAUUAGCUUUAGCUAAUUUAACUAGCCUUUGCCCCUCCUCCUGACCCUGAGGGUGAAGCACAUUUUAUCAUUCAUCCUCUGGGGGCUGGCUUAUGCUGGCUCCCUUUCCUUUGGCAGUGAUUUUAAGCAACCAAGUUCUUAUUACAAUUCUCAAAUUUAAAAUUAAGUUCUGAUCACAUCUUCUCAGGGCAUACCUAAGAGGCAGUGUUUAUCCCCAGCCAAAUCAAUUGUUUCCUCAAGUGACUCAUUCCUGAAAAUGUUAUUGUUUCUAAUAACCAGCUCAAAUAUGUAUUUUCAUUAAUCUUUUCUUUUACCUCCAUUUCACACGUGUUGCUGCAUGUCAGGCAGUUUCCACAAGGAUCUGCCAUGACAUCAUUGUGUGAGGUAUGAAAAAAAAAUUUUUUUUUUUCUAAUUUAAGAAUUACUUUUACUCAGAUGGUGGCUGGGCUGGGAAAUGUUCCCCAUUGCCCUGGGAGUUUUAGGCCAAGGCUUGUGUGUGUGUGUGUGUGUGUGUGUGUGUUGGAAGGGUCUCUCAUUGCCUAUUUCUGCUUAUAUAACACACACUGGUUUAGGUAGGUGGAGUCAGAAUGGGAAGAGGAAGUUCCCUAAGUGUUUCUUGCAUGCAAAGGUAAGUGGAGAAUGCCCAUCUGGGCACACAGGGCAAGGAUGCAGUGGAGUGACCUCUCCUUUCCCCUCCAACUCACAUGCUGGAGUUUAAAAACUGUAUCAGGAUGACAGAAACCAAGGGGUAAGACCACGGCUUCCUCUGGGGAUCUUCUAUAAACUGUAAGAACAAACACAGGUAUUUUGUAGUUCUUUAUCACAACGGGUCCUUUGCUGAUGAUUCUAGGUUUUAUGACUGCUGUUUUAUGUCCUACAAAUAGUAACAGGCAUUUCCCUUUGCCCUACACCACAGUAAGCCACUGGCCUAGACAAGAAGCAACUCUGCACUGCUUUUCAAACAUCAUCCUCCCUCUCGACCGCAGGGACUAUUUGGUUUCUAUUCUACUUCUGGCCUUUCAUAUUCCUGAUGGUGCAUUGGAUGAAACCCCGCAGCCAGGCGUGUGAACGUGGUUGAAAAGACCCAUGGAGGACCAGCAACGCUUCCCCACAGCGUGGGAUGGUCCCCUCCUGAGAUGGCCCACUGUCAGCGGGACUGACGCCAAGCACUGCAUCCUGUCUGCUUCUUGAACAGCCCCUUCAUUGUUUGUUCAGCUAUUCUGCUGCAUCUGCAGAUAGCCCUGCCUGAGAAACAGCCUCAAACCAGAAGGAGAGGAUGGCGGCAAGCCUUAGAGAAACAUGGAUGUUAUGUGGACUUCAUUGCCUCAGAGAAAAUUCCUUUUAGGGCUGAAGGCAGAGAAAGUCAGCAUUGAUUUCUGGCCUAAGCUCUUGGGAGUUUAGAGGGUUUGUCAAGGAGCCAAAAGAGGCAAAGGGACUUGAAGAUUUGGACGGCAUGUCUCGGAGAAGUAGCCCCACUCCUAGAGGAGAUGACAUUUGGCUUGGAGGAGAAAGAGGCCUCAAAGGUUUCACAUAUCUAAGUCCAAGGAACUUGAGCUCACAGUCAGACAUCAUAAAACACACAAGGAAAGAAGGCAUCAUGAAUAAAAGCAGGAACCAAUAUUAUUAGACACAACAGAUAAAAUGACCGUAAAGAAAAUUUGGGAAUGUGUAUUUCAGGGAAAAUGAAAAUGAUCCCAAUAAAGAUCGGAGAUGCAGGAAGGAAGGAAAACAUAGAAAUUGAGCCAGUUGGAGUGUGAGGCUUCAGAAUCGCCUUCCAACUCUCUGUGCACUGCACCAGCUGCUUCCCAUAGACUCCUGGUAAAAUAUAGAGCGGAAGGAAGAAGAGCCACUACCCAUAACAUCAGUGGCUGCUAACUAAGGAGUGUUUUGACAUGCUGGUACAGCCUAUCCUCAGCUUUCCAGAAGGUGGAAUCUUGUGAUAGUGGAAAGAAGUAGAAGAGAUGAAGUACCUAUGACUCCAGGAUUUGCCAGUGAAAGAAGUCAACAAUAUUUUAACUUUGAUCUUAACCAAAAGGCCAAGAAGUGAUGCUAAUAUUUUCAUAUACUACGACAGUUGCAGACACACGUCUAUCAUAGCUGGGUAGUAAUCCAGGCAACUCUGCCACAAGUCAUGGGCUCAGCCACCAGUCCACGAAGUCUCCAGUCACACAUAUUGCUUCGGACUAUUCUCUAUCCCCAGUUGUCAAUUAACUAAAAUAUUAAAUGAGAAGAAAACCUGAUGUCUGAGCUGAAUCCUAAUCAUGAAGAUGUUUUUCCACCAUUCCUGUCUGUGUUUUUCUACCAUUCCUGUCUGUGUUUUUCUACCAAAGUGUGCUCUUGAAGUUCUGCAUUUCCCAGGGUGUGGUGAAAGAAGAGAAAAAAAUGUCCAAGAUGACUUCAACGUUCUGACCUUGAGUGGCUUGAGUGAAUGGAGUUACAACUGUGCAGAAAGAUUCAGUAGAGAGUUUUGGAUUUAUGCACCAGUAAGGGGAAAACUGAACAGCUGCAGAGAGCUGUAACUUUUAUAGGAGAUUAAUCUAUAAGAGAAGACAGCAAACUACAGCCUGUGUGUCAAAUCCUACUUGCCACGUCCACUGAAAGCUAACUACACUGGAACACUCUCAUUUCUGCAAAGAAAAAUAUCAUAUCCCAGGAUGAAAAGGAGGAGGAAGAGGAAAGGCUAACUUAACAAGAAGCUCUUUGACAUUCUUGAAUUAGACACCCAACGUAGUCCACGCAGUACGGAGGAUGACUUCAGAAGUGCAAUUCUGAUAUGGACUUUGUCUCCCUAAGGCUUUCAGUUCCUCAUAUUUAGGAUAAAACAGAAGUUUAUGUAAAGCCAAGGGAGAGGGUCACCGGGAGAGGGAAGGAGGAACAGCAGAAGGAGAGGUCCACACAUGAAAAUACUUGGAAGCGCCCCAGGGCCUAUCAGAUGCAGGUCUUGGCGGAAAUUACCAAACAUACUUUAGACAGGCUGCUGUGUUGCUGAGUGUGGACUGGCCUCAGGGCCUGCUGAUCAAAGCAAAAGGAAGCAGUGAAAAAAACAUCACCAUGUCUUCUUAGAGUCUAAUCUGGGGGCAAGAGGCCAGCAUGCACAGUUGGUGCUGAUUUUCUUGGGCGGAUAGAGGAAAGGUGUAGGCGUGGCCAACAUUUGAGCAGCAUGUGGUUCCUCUCACACGCCAUGCUGUUUCCGGCCUCCUUGCAUUUUACUCAUGCCAUCCUCCUGGUCACUUCUUUGAGAUAUUAAGUGCAUUCUUUAGGACUCAGACUCAGCUCAAGGGUCAGUGCAUCCAUGAAGCCUUACCUGGAUCCCAGAGGGAGCUCUGUGCUCCUCCUUUGUCUCCUAUAGGACCCAGUACAUGCGUCCAGUAUUAUCCAUACACACUGAAAUGAUCUAGCAUGUGUCUUCCCAUAGGAUUUCAAAUUCUUAGAAUAUAGGAGUGAUGCCUUCUUCCUACUUAUAUUUCCAGUGUUAACAGUGCCUGUCAAUUGACUUGAAGAUAACUAAAAGUCUGGUUGUUAAGGGCUGCUUCCCACCUCCAAAUACUUCCCUGGAAGUCAUUGUAUGGGCACUGACAUUGGUAGGUCUCCACUGGCUUGUAGAUGCUUCUGAUUAUAAGGUAGUCUCAGAUGCCUUCAGAAAGUUCUAAGACUGUAUAAAACAUUUCCUUCACAACCAAUAACUGUGUAUUAUUGUUCGUGUAAUUCCAGAAGUUAUCCUUUUGAUAGAGAGCAAUUACUUUAUUGAUUGAGAGUUAGCUAAUUAUGUAAUAAAGGUAAAGAUUUGCAUAGAGAA
rnacentral:lncRNA from 1 species